rnacentral:tRNA from 1 species
UCCCUGCUGGUCCCAUGGUCAGGACUCUGCACUCUAAAUGCAGAGCGCCCAGGUUCAAUCCCUGGUUGGGGAA